UGGUCGUGGAUGAGUGGCGAACGGGUGAGUAACACGUGAGUAACCUGCCCCUGACUUCGGGAUAAGCCUGGGAAACUGGGUCUAAUACCGGAUACGACCGGAUGAGGCAUCUUGUUCGGUGGAAAGUUGUUUCGGUUGGGGAUGGGCUCGCGGCCUAUCAGUUUGUUGGUGAGGUAAUGGCUCACCAAGACGACGACGGGUAGCCGGCCUGAGAGGGCGACCGGCCACACUGGGACUGAGACACGGCCCAGACUCCUACGGGAGGCAGCAGUGGGGAAUAUUGCACAAUGGGGGGAACCCUGAUGCAGCGACGCAGCGUGCGGGAUGACGGCCUUCGGGUUGUAAACCGCUUUCAGCAGGGAAGAAGCCUUCGGGUGACGGUACCUGCAGAAGAAGUACCGGCUAACUACGUGCCAGCAGCCGCGGUAAUACGUAGGGUACGAGCGUUGUCCGGAAUUAUUGGGCGUAAAGAGCUCGUAGGUGGUUGGUCACGUCUGCUGUGGAAACGCAACGCUUAACGUUGCGCGGGCAGUGGGUACGGGCUGACUAGAGUGCAGUAGGGGAGUCUGGAAUUCCUGGUGUAGCGGUGAAAUGCGCAGAUAUCAGGAGGAACACCGGUGGCGAAGGCGGGACUCUGG
rnacentral:rRNA from 1 species